UUGUAAGCGUCAAUGUUAAAUAAAUAAGUUGUACUUGCGAAAAGAGUUAUUUUAGACCUCAAAAGCAAUGGUCUGUGUUGAUGCUAUUUUCUCUGAAAGCAAACUGUCAGUAAUCUGCAGCCGAUUCAGCUACUGUACCAGAAACUUGAAGAAAGGCGUAAAAAGUGAGCUGCCAUUACCGAAGUACCUCAGAUAUGUAGGAACCAUGACAUUCGGGCAUUUCUGUUCUGUUGAAAUAAUACUUGAGCUGGAACCAUGACAUGAAAGAACCCUUAGCCUAGGAAAUAUAUGCAAGUGGAGAUUGAAACAUUAAAUUUGUAAAAUGAAAAGACUUUUGAAGCAAAUAACAAGUUCUGAAUGCUUCAAACUAACUGUUAGUAGACUUUGGAUGAUUUACUGCAAACAUAGGGCAAAAAAGACUCAGAUACAAAUGUAUCAUAACAGUGCUUACAUGCCAAACUUCCAGGGCAUCUCUACAGGAGAAUUCAGUUGAAAGUCCAGGAGAUUUCAGAAUUUACAUUGUACCUAGUUUAAUAGUAUAAUUAAAAAGAUAGUUAUGAAUUCUUUUUAGUAAAUCUGAUUCAUUUUUAAAUCUACAAGGUAUUGUCAGCAUUUGUUGAUCUUUGUCAGCUUUGGUCUUGGUUAACAUUUUUGCUUAUGUUCCUCUUUUCUUCGAAACUAUAAGAAAUAUAGCUUUGAAACUUAGUUCACCUGUUUAUCAUCAUUAGAUCACCAAGAGUCAUAAUUCCCACUUCUGUCGCUUUUUGGCAGAAUUAUGACCUCUUGUGUACCUAGAAAAUUGGAAUUUCUUGGUUAAAUAUUUGGAUAAAUUAAAUGUUUCAUACUUUAAGAGCUAUAGCUUGAAACUUUAUAUACUUGUUUAUCAUCAUUAGUUGACUAAAUAGGCCAUGAACCAUAACUAUUGCUUGUAUUCUGUCAGAAUAUGGGCUUUUUAAAUUUGUAUUUCUUGGUCAAUUUUUUGUUUAGCUCGACUAUUUGAAGAAUA
rnacentral:lncRNA from 1 species